AUUGUUCACCUUUCCAACCUCACUCACCCCUAUCUCCAGGACAUGCGAUAGUUUGAAGGUGACUUGAUUCGACGGUAGUCGUAGAGGCGAGCUUUCCUGGAUAGUGAGUGGUCCUCUGUAUACAGUGCGGUCCAAGGGAGGGCAAGCAAGUUCCAUCUGUCGUGGAGAAAGCUUCUUUCCAUGUGAGGGACUCGUCCUUGCAGGUCCUCGUCCGGGGUCACUGUAGCGAAUUCCCACUGGAGGAGUCUCUCGUCCGCACUUAGGGUCUCCCGUAUAUAUACGAAAAAGCAUUAAUACAUAUAAAAAUAGGACAGUUCAGCUCUGAAGUCAUCCUGUGAAACAACACUAUGUGGACAUACCUAUACUAUGUCCUAGCAAUCUUGGACUGCUUACACACUACAGUCCUAAAAGAAGUAUGAAGUACUAACUUAUAAUAUUCAGUGUAUGCUUUCCUGUCUUUACUGAGAUUUCUCCAGUGCGUGAGCAACUCUUGUUCGGCCUUCUGUGUAUAUCCAUCUAUCAUAGAGAUGUGUGGGUUCCACAAAACUCUUGAUAUUUGGACCUAUUGCCCUUUCCAGAUAAAUCAGGCAAUUUAUAUUGAAAUAUAUGAACCCAUUUGUUCUGCGAAAUGUCGAUACGUGAUAUGUACAAAUGCAACUCCUCAUGGAAGGCGUAUUUCUGUAUGCACAGAGUGAACAUUGGAAGGAUUGUUUUCUCUUUUUCUCUUCGAUCAGAACGUCUAUGUUUGCCUUCCACAACUCGACCACCCCCUUCUCCAGGACAUCUAGUGUUCUAGUGUCAGAUGCUGACUUCAGUCAGAACUGUCAAGGAGCCAAGCAAUGUUGUAAUGGUAGCUCAGAACACAAAGAAUGUCGGUGUGACAAUUGACGUUUCUCUGUUCCUCCCUACACACACCCACCUCCAGGAUGGGUCAGAGUUGGAAGGUCCUGGGCUGGCCUUCAGGAAGCUGGGGACAAGUGGCAGUGGUUGUAGUUCUGGUUGUGACUGGAAGUUGACAAUGUGCUACAACUCCACACGCCACUUGGUCACCGCAGCUGGAGAUCUGGACAUCAGAGUGUCAUGUUCUUGAAAUCUCUGAUAUAUUUAAAUAAAACCAUUGUAGAUAAUGACACAUACAUUGAAUACAAGCAGUAAGUUCACUUCAGAGAAGGUCUGCUUUUUAAAAAAUAAUUUUUUUAAAUUACAAUCGUUGGGCUUGUAACAUUUGAGGGAGAUGUGCUUCCAAAAGCAACAUCCGCCAUCCUGGCACUCUCACGGACCUGGUCGUUGGUGCUGUGAGGCCUUGUCAGUAUAAACUGCCUAGUCUGAGGUUUUGAGUUUCUGAUGACAGCAUCCUUCACCAAAGGCUCCUUGACUCAUAUUCAAGGUCUUGUAGGAAAUCCUCAAAAUUUCAGAGUCUUCUGCUUCCUGUUAUACAGCCUAUGAAGCCUUUCAUAUAUUUUCAUGGAAUUUUGCUGGUAUCUCACCAGAAAAGCAGUCUUAACUCGUCCCAAGAAUUGUUCUCAAAAUCUUUUGCCUUGAAACCAUUUAAAUGCCUUCGCAUCUAACCAUAGACUAAAGGCUUCUUCUUGCCUUCCUCUGAAUAACUAUACAGUGAUGUAAACUUUCCAUACUUCUUCAACCAGGUUCCUUCAUUAACAGAUUCACUGCCUGCAAGUUCAAAAGUAUUAGCUAAUGCACAAACACUCCUGUCUAACCUAUCUGAGUGGUUGAAAAUCAGUUGAAAAUAAACCAGACUGUCCCUGUUUCUUGAUGUUCUUGGCUCCACCUUCUUCCUGAUCAAAUGACAUUUUGAAAUUAACAGUUUUGUCACCAAUAGACUCGUCAAAGCUGUCUAACCCUCCCUCGUGGGUAGGUGCCAAAAAUGAUGACUCUCUCUCCCUAUUUGGAGAUCUAACCACUUGAUCAGUUUAAGUAGCAAAACAAACGAGCAAUUCUGGGAAAUCAAUGGAGGCACGGUUGAUGGAAGUAGAAUAUUUGACUUCUGUCUCUUCAUCAUCAUCAGAUGACAUGACUUUGUGUAAUGAAUACAAACAAUAACCAUGAGAAAUACAGUGAAAUCUCUGAUACUACAGAAUACAAUACACAAAGCAAAAAGUAAAUGUCCAUGAAAGCCUCGGUCUCUCAGGCAUGACACAGGGAGCUGAGUCUCGUAAACUGUCCAACACUAGAAAAGAAAAUAUAAUCAAUAGCACUGUUGCCUUGCGUGCAGGGUGAGCAGGCUUGACACAGUGCCACUCUACAAACUCCACCACCCCCAUCUCCAGGACAAGUGAUAACUUGAAAGCCAGGAGGUGAUUUUAUUCUGAAGGUUUGGUUCUUUCUUUGUCCACACAUUAGAACAAGAUUGUUCACCUCUCCUGACUCCACCACCCCCAUCUCCAGGACAUGCAAUACUUUGAAAGUCAGGAGGUGACUUGGUUGUGAAGGUUUAGUUCUUUCUUUACCCACAUUUAGAACAAGUUUGUUCACCUCUCUAAACUCACAUACCCCCAUCUCCAGGACAAGCGAUAGUUGGAAAGUCAGGAAGUGACUUGAUUGUGAAGGUUUGGUCUUUCUUUGCCCACAUUUAGAACAAGAUUGUUCACCUCUCCUGACUCCACCACCCCCAUCUCCAGGACAUGCGAUACUUUGAAAGUCAGGAAGUGACUUGAUUGUGAAGGUUUAGUUCUUUCUUUGCCCACAUUUAGAACAAGAUUGUUCACCUCUCCUGACUCUAUCACCCCCAUCUCCAGGACAUGCGAUAGUUUGAAAGUCAGGAGGUGACUUUAUUCUGAAGGUUUGGUCUUUCCCUGUCGAAAAUUUGAUGAAUACUUCAUGAACUAUUCACGAACAUUUCAUGAACAUUUCACGAAGUUUUCAUGAACUUUUCAUGAACUUUUCGUGAAGACUAAAUGGCCACUUUUCACUUCACAAACUUUUUCGUGAACUAAGUUCACGAACAAGUUCAUGAACUAGUUCACGAGUUGUUGGUGAAUAAGUUCAUGAAAUUUUCUCGAACGAAUGCAUGAACAAGUUCAUGAACUUUUCAUGAAGUCAAAUGGCCAUUUAGUCUUCAGGAAACUUUCAUGAUGAGUUCCUGAACUAUUAACGAACUCUGCAGCUGUAAAGAAACACAGUUCUGUGCCAUUUUCAAAAAAGAAGUGUGUCUAACAAUAAUUUAACCAGUUGAGGGAUGUAACAAGGGGCAACUUGGUUUUGCCAAGAAUGAUUUAAAGUGCACUUUCAAGACAUCUAAAAAAGACAAACAAAAGGUAUAAAAUACAAUCAUUUAUAUUGUCAGCAGUACUUCAAUGAAACAGCAAACUCUGACAUCAAGUGAGCUAAUGCACAUUAACCUGUCACAUAAACUUGGUUUUGAUGACCAAUACCAUGGACAGCUUGUGACCUAGCACUGAAGCUCAUUUACAUUAGAAAUAUUGACUUCUGAUUUAUCCUUUUAUCAAGGCGAAGACUAGAAGUGCCAUUAAAAAUGUCACAGAAAAGUAUAUUACAAAAGUGUUGCAUUUAAAAAUAUUCUUGUACGUUACACGAUACAUUGGGAGCUGAUUAUUUUGAUGAUCCCCACAAGUUUAGAUUUAAAAUUGAUAUAAAAUAAAUUUGUCAAAGUUCACAACUUUACUAUCAAAUGAGAAUAUAAAAAUCAAGAAAUUUUAAAUGAAAACAUUCUGACUGGUCCAGAUAUUUACGAAGUUGAUAGUUAUUGAGACAUUUAUCAAUACAAAUAACUGUGAAAUGGUUUCUAAAACUCUUAACUUUAUUUUAAUAGCCAAAUGUUAAAAAUGUCACUCCAUACUAAAUUUCUUUUUUAAAAUUGCCUAGGUUGACUUUGACUUCUUUUCUGUUUUUGCACAUUCUGAAACUUUUCCCUUGUUUGGUUCCACUCAGUACCUGGCUUGUGCUUCAUUGCAGCUUGCUUAAAUGAGGCAACCUUUGUGUUAUCUAAUGGAGGUCUAGCAAUUUCUUUGGAAUGUGGGGACUUUUUCCCACUCAAAGAGCAGUCCCUCAGUUCUUCCUCACUGAAGUCCAGAUGAGCCAGCUCUUUGACACACAGCUGUAUAUUUGUCUUCGGUAAAUGGGAGAUGCUGGUCACCAGGGAGUUAACUUGUGAGGUCACUGCUUCACAUGGGGCACAUGGGGAGGGUGUAACAGCCGGCCACCAGGGAGUUGACUUGUGAGGUCACUGCUUCACAUGGGGCACAUGGGGAGGGUGUAACAGCCGGCCACCAGGGAGUUGACUUGUGAGGUCACUGCUUCACAUGGGGCACAUGGGGAGGGUGUAACAGCCGGCCACCAGUGAGUUGACUUGUGAGGUCACUGCUUCACAUGGGGCACAUGGGGAGGGUGUAACAGCCGGCCACCAGUGAGUUGACUUGUGAGGUCACUGCUUCACAUGGGGCACAUGGGGAGGGUGUAACAGCCGGCCACCAGGGAGUUGACUUGUGAGGUCACUGCUUCACAUGGGGCACAUGGGGAGGGUGUAACAGCCGGCCACCAGGGAGUUUUGCUGCUGGACUGGCCAGUGGCGAAGCUAGUGGUGAAGCUAAUGGUGAUGCCACAGGAGACACAAGUUGGGAAGAUGUGUUCUGCUUCUCUGCCUGGAGCUUCUUGAAGGCCUCCUCAAGAUGUCGCACUCUUUCCUUCAGUCUUGAAAUGUCUUUGCACCUGUUAUUGAAAAGAAAGACAUGUUAAUACUUUACUUUAAAAAAUAGUCAAGUGAAGUAUUAAUUGCUCUUUCAUAAAUUGAAAGUGUCCUUUUUUGGAAUAGGACUAAAUUAAUAUACAAGCAGAACUAAAAUUGCAAGAAAAGUAAAAUUUAAAUUCAUUCACUUACAUUGUUCUUUUGAAGUAUUAUACUGAUAAGAUAAACACUUAGCAUAUCAUUUUUUCUUUUCUUUCUGAGACAAAGUUUGCUCACAUUUUGAACAAUUUCCAAUGGAUGCUUUAGAAGUAGAGUUGUGACGAUACACAUUUGCCACGAUACAAUACAUAUUGUGAUACAUGCUUUACGAUACGAUUCGAUUCGAUACGUAUCACUGUACACAUUUCAAUGCUGAACAUGCCUGUAAGUUGAGAAAUAAAAUCAAUUAAGCAAAA